rnacentral:rRNA from 1 species
UACGUAGGGGGCAAGCGUUGUCCGGAAUCAUUGGGCGUAAAGAGCGUGUAGGCGGCCAGCUAAGUCCGCUGUGAAAUCUCGAGGCUCAACUUCGAGCUGUCGGUGGAAACUGUCUGGCUAGAGUCCGGAAGAGGAGAAUGGAAUUCCUGGUGUAGCGGUGAAAUGCGCAGAUAUCAGGAGGAACACCAAUAGCGAAGGCAGCUCGCUGGGACGUUACUGACACUAAGGCGCGAAAGCGUGGGGAGCGAACAGG